UGACAGCCUCAAUUUUUUUGC
rnacentral:piRNA from 1 species